CCUACGGGAGGCAGCAGUGAGGAAUAUUGGUCAAUGGACGCAAGUCUGAACCAGCCAUGCCGCGUGCAGGAAGACGGCUCUAUGAGUUGUAAACUGCUUUUGUACGAGGGUAAAUCCCGAUACGUGUAUCGGGUUGAAAGUAUCGUACGAAUAAGGAUCGGCUAACUCCGUGCCAGCAGCCGCGGUAAUACGGAGGAUGCAAGCGUUAUCCGGAUUUAUUGGGUUUAAAGGGUGCGUAGGCGGUUCGAUAAGUUAGAGGUGAAAUCCCGGGGCUCAACUCCGGCACUGCCUCUGAUACUGUCGGGCUAGAGUUUAGUUGCGGUAGGCGGAAUGUAUGGUGUAGCGGUGAAAUGCAUAGAGAUCAUACAGAACACCGAUUGCGAAGGCAGCUUACCAAACUACGACUGACGUUGAGGCACGAAAGCGUGGGGAGCGAACAGGAUUAGAUACCCUAGUAGUC
rnacentral:rRNA from 1 species